rnacentral:rRNA from 1 species
UACGUAGGUCCCGAGCGUUGUCCGGAUUUAUUGGGUUUAAAGGGUGCGUAGGCGGGAUGCCAAGUCAGCGGUAAAAAUGCGGUGCUCAACGCCGUCGAGCCGUUGAAACUGGCGUUUUUGAGUGGGCGAGAAGUAUGCGGAAUGCGUGGUGUAGCGGUGAAAUGCAUAGAUAUCACGCAGAACUCCGAUUGCGAAGGCAGCAUACCGGCGCCCUACUGACGCUGAGGCACGAAAGCGUGGGUAUCGAACAGG